CGCCAGCCCUGAGAUAUCUGCUAAGGAGUAUUUCUCCUUCUAGGCUGAGUUCUGGGGGGUGGCAAGUUGGAUAGCACUGGUGGGGAAGCAAUGCGCCUGGACUCUCACCCCCAGUGAAGCCUUUCAGAGCACCCUGGGGAGAGUGACUGACCUCUCAAGGCAUUUCAGCUUUUUCAGUGGAACAGGGAGAUCUCAGUGUUUACAACAACAGAGGCUGACUUCGCACUCACAUUGGCUGCAGCUCUCUCUCCAAGUUACCUUCAUUCCUGGACCCAGGCAUCUGAAGGCCUUUCCCAUGGCUGGUGAAGAGUCCUGACAGGGCCCUUCAAACUGGAGCAUGAAUAAUGUGGGCCGGCCCCAUGACUCACGCCCACAAUCCCAGCACUUUGGGAGGCUGAGGCAGGAGGACUGCUUGAGCCCAGGAGUUCGAGAC
rnacentral:lncRNA from 1 species